GCACUGAUGAGGAGUCCAGCGAUAGGACGAAACGACCGUCCAGUGC
rnacentral:hammerhead_ribozyme from 1 species